rnacentral:rRNA from 1 species
GAGUUUGAUCCUGGCUCAGGAUGAACGCUGGCGGCGUGCUUAACACAUGCAAGUCGAACGAACCUUCGGGUUAGUGGCGGACGGGUGAGUAACGCGUGGGAAUCUGCCCUCAGGAGGGGGAUAACGGUUGGAAACGACCGCUAAUACCCCAUAUGCCGAGAGGUGAAAUGAAUUUCGCCUGAGGAUGAGCCCGCGUCUGAUUAGCUUGUUGGUGAGGUAAUGGCUCACCAAGGCAUCGAUCAGUAGCUGGUCUGAGAGGAUGAUCAGCCACACUGGGACUGAGACACGGCCCAGACUCCUACGGGAGGCGGCAGUGGGGAAUUUUCCGCAAUGGGCGAAAGCCUGACGGAGCAACGCCGCGUGAGGGACGAAGGCCUCUGGGCUGUAAACCUCUUUUCUCAAGGAAGAAGAUAUGACGGUACUUGAGGAAUAAGCCACGGCUAAUUCCGUGCCAGCAGCCGCGGUAAUACGGGAGUGGCAAGCGUUAUCCGGAAUUAUUGGGCGUAAAGCGUCCGCAGGCGGCUUUUCAAGUCUGCUGUUAAAACGUGGAGCUUAACUCCAUCAUGGCAGUGGAAACUGAUUGGCUUGAGUAUGGUAGGGGCAGAGGGAAUUCCCGGUGUAGCGGUGAAAUGCGUAGAUAUCGGGAAGAACACCAGUGGCGAAGGCGCUCUGCUGGGCCAUUACUGACGCUCAUGGACGAAAGCCAGGGGAGCGAAAGGGAUUAGAUACCCCUGUUGUCCUGGCCGUAAACGAUGAACAAAGGUGUCGGGGGAAUCGACCCCUUCGGGGUCGUUGCUAACGCGUUAAGUGUUCCGCGAGGGGGAGUACGCACGCAAGUGUGAAAUUCAAAGGAAUUGACGGGGUCCCGCACAAGCGGUGGAGUAUGUGGUUUAAUUGGAUGCAACGCGAAGAACCUUACCAGGGCUUGACAUCCUGCGAGCCUUUAAGAAAUUAGAGGGUGCCUUCGGGAACGCAGUGACAGUUGGUGCAUGGCUGUCGUCAGCUCGUGUCGUGAGAUGUUGGGUUAAGUCCCGCAACGAGCGCAACCCACUUUUUUAGUUGCCAGCAUUUAGUUGGGCACUCUAGAAAGACCGCCGGUGAUAAACCGGAGGAAGGUGUGGAUGACGUCAAGUCAUCAUGCCCCUUACGUCUUGGGCUACACACGUAAUACAAUGGUACGGACAAAGGGCAGCAAACUCGCGAGAGCUAGCAAAUCCCAUAAACCGUGGCUCAGUUCAGAUCGUAGGCAGCAACUCGCCUACGUGAAGUAGGAAUCGCUAGUAAUCGCAGGUCAGCAUACUGCGGUGAAUACGUUCCCGGGCCUUGUACACACCGCCCGUCACACCAUGGAAGUUGGCCAUGCCCGAAGUCGUUACUUUAACCCUUGUGGAGAAGGACGCCGAAGGUGGGGCUGAUGACUGGGGUGAAGUCGUAACAAGGUAACC